UCCCUCGUGGCUUAGCGGCUAGAGCGCUCGGUGCACCGCCCUCCGGGGUAACUGAAAGACGAGAUCGCGGGUUCGAGUCCCGCCGAGGGAU
rnacentral:tRNA from 1 species